AAUAACAACACUAUUGAGGCUGCCAAACUGACUAAUAGCAAAAAGAGUAAGACAAUUUGUCAUGUUACAAGAACUAUAUCAGUAACUUCACAAGGAAAUGUCAAUGUUACAACAUUAUCUCUUAUCUUUUGUAGGCAUACUCACUGCCAGAGAAAGCAAAACACUAACUGGAAGUGAAAAACUUUGAAUAAAAAAAAAUUAAUUUUUUUCCAAGAAUAUCACUUCUCUCUAAUAGAGUUUGCUCUUUUCCUACUUUGGUGUCUUAUGGAUAUUGGAUAGUGAAGGAUCUUAAACAGUGGUUGUCCCUCACUUGAGAUUUGAUUAGGAUGCAAAUGUAAAUAAUCACUUCUAGGCUGCCAACUAACUAUAGCAAGUAAGCAAGUAAUGGAAGAAACACAGAAAAAAGAACAAUGUUCUGACAAUUUAUGGCUUGAAGUAAAUUGUUGCUUUUAAUAAAUUGUCAUGAGAAUUAGUCGAGGCGCAUGCAAGUUAACUUGAAUGCCACGGUUAUAAAAAAUGUGCAUUACUUUCUGUAACUGAUCCACAGUUGAGUGUAAAAAUAAAGAAGUAGUGAUUGGAGUGUAGGAUGUGUUUGCAUCUGGAUUCUGAGGUAAGACAACCAAAUUCUUAUCUUUUGGAUGAACAAGUCGUUAAUUGUGCCUUCAUCAUGUCAUGUAAUGUAUAAAGAGUUAAGAAUUUGUAUUAAGUAAUCAGAAAAUUCCACUUAUGCUCAUUGUCAGGGGCGUGUGUAUUUUUCUACAUUCCUGCUUGAAGCAUUGAACAUUAUUUUGGCAAUACAUGAAAAAAGAAUCAAAAUUUCUUUUAAGUGAAAAUUGCUGUUAUAUAAGUAAAUAAUAAUCACUGACUUUUUUUUUAGAAUGGUAACAUAUUAUUUAUUAGCGCACAUAUUGUUAAAUUAUCUCUAGUUUUAUCUGAAUUAUAGCUUCUUUUACUCCUUUUCAUUCCCUAUUAAAACACAUACCAAUUUUUAUUUUUUGGUAAAUAAAUUUUUUUAUAAUAUUUACUUAACUAGGCAGAGUUGACCAACUGUCUCUCAAUGAAAUGUAAAACUAAUAGAAAGAUCAGCAGGACUCACGCUAACAUUCCUAUGGAGUCGCUACUCUAUGUUUUUUAACAAUAGAAUAGCUAUUCUAAGUAUCUAAUAGAAUAAAAAAUGCAACUAGUCAAGGCACAGAAUUUAGUUGCGUUAAGCAUGUAGUCCAUUUCUUGUGCUGGAUUCCACGGAUAUGUAUGUGCACAGCUAUCUCCUUGCAGACUUUAUUAGGCAUGAAGCUUCCUUGCUUCCUUGCUGGAAUCUAAUUUGGUUUCUUUCUCUCCAUACUAUACUGAUAAUCAUAGAAAACAUACAACAUAGGAUAACACCUUUCCCUGAACUUCCUUUUGCCCAUCUAAUAAUCCAGUCUACUACUUGCUCCCAGGUCCCUAUGACUCUAUGAAUUCCCAUCUAUGAAAGUAAUCUGCACCACAGCCCCCUUGUAAUUGGAAAGUCAAAAGACAAGUGAUCAUGUGUUUCUAUAGUAUUAUGACAGAAUGUGCAAGCCAUAUCAACAUUAAUCCCAAACUUUGCUAGUUGAUCAACUGUAGCCAAUCUUUUUAAAGUGCAAGCCAUGGGAUGAAGUUGUGCCUCGGGUGGAUGCUUGAGUGAAGUACUAUGCUCUUCCAAGAAAAUUUUGGCAUAUCAAGUAGCAUAGCUAGGUACAACUUUUUGAUGGAAAAUUUGCCCUUCCCAAUCCGUUGACUUAGUCUUGCUUGAAGAUUACCUUGCAAUCUAGGUGCUAGCGUGAUAGCCUUCCUUGAUUCAAUCACUUUUCUCAUAACUCAAGUACCAUUCCUUGGGCUGCAACAAUCCUCCACUAUAUCAUCUUUGAUAUAGUAGGCAUGUACCCACCUUAUCCACAUACUGUCAGCUUUUGUAGCUAGGGCCCAUAGUUGUUUUGCAACAACUACUUUAUUCCAGUUGCAAAUAUGCAGGAUAUUUUUCCCUCCUGCUACCUUUGGCAUACAAAGCUUUUCCCAAGAGACUAGUGCUCUUUUUGAAGGGCAAGUUUUACCUGUCCAUAAGAAGAUUCUACAAUGAGAGUUUAUGAGCUUCAUAAUCUUCUUUGGGAGAAUAAUGAUUUGAGCCAUUAAGUCUGAAUGCCAAAAAUAACAGAUGUAAUCAGCUGAAGCCUGCCUGCAUAAGAUACCAGUUUUGUUGACCAAUAUUUCAUCCUUUCAAGAAUUUUAUCUAUUAAGGGGUAGCACUGGUCAACAGUUAGUUUCUUGGAAGACAGGGGUACUCCCAAGUAUUUGAAAGGUAAGGACCCUUUAGUGUAGCCCAGAGUCUGCAAUAUUUGUUAUUUCUCAGUGUCUUUGACACUUGACAUAUAAAUGAAACUCUUGUCUUGGUUGGCUUGGAGUCAUGAAGCUGUAGAGAACUUAUUAAAAGCUUAUUGUAGUAGUGCUAUGGAUGCAGUGUUUGCUUUUCAAAAAAAUCAAUAGAUCAUCUACAAAGAAGAUAUGUACAAGACCAAGCUUUUUGCACCUAGGAUGAAAUUGGAAGUUGGGAUGUGAGGUGGCCAAGGCUAAUUCUCUGCGUAAAUACUCCAGAGCAAUCACAUAAAGGUAAGGUGACGUAGGGUCACCUUUCCUUAUUCCUCUUUUACCUUGAAAAGGCUUAGUAAGUCCACCAUUUAACACUAGAGAAUAGGACACAAUUGUAACACAUUCCAUAACCUAUCUAAUAAAUUUCUGGGGAAAUCCCAAUUUUGCAAGCAUGCUUUUAAGGAAACACCAUUCAACACCUUCAUAGGCUUUCCUUAAGUUAACUUUCAAUACACAUCUAGGAGAUAGUCCUUUUCUUGUAUACCAUUUCAAUAAUUCAUGGCUAAAGAUCACAUUAUCAAUGAUGGAUCUUCCUUCUAUAAAAGCUGACUGGGAGGGGAUUAUAAUGGUGUUCAUUACUCCCUUCAUCCUAUUUGUUAACACCUUAGUAAUGAUCUUGUAGAAUGUAGUACAAUAUGCUAUGGGCCUGUAGUCUUUAACUAAUGUGGGUGCAGGUACCUUUGGCAUAAGUGUUACUGAAGUGCAGCUAAAAGUUUUAAGCACUUUACCUGUGGUAAAGAACUUUUGAACAGCCAGUAAUACAUCUGAUUUCACUAUGUUCCAUUAACUGGUGUAGAAUUCAAUAGGGACACCAUCCACUCCUGGUGAUUUCUCAAUUGCCAUGUCCUUUAUAGUAUUCAUAACCUCCUCCUCUAUAACCUAUUGUAUAAGUGACAUCUUUUGUGGAUUAGAUAAACAAGGACCUCUUCUGACGACCUAUGAGUUUGGUAAGGUCAACUCAUCAGCAGCAGUUCCUAGUAGGUUGGUAAAGAAGGAUACAAAUUCCUGUUCCACUAAGACUGGAUCUACAAUCUUUAGUCCUUGAUCAAUAUAGAUUGAUGUAAUAGCAUUUCUACUUGCCCUGAUCCUACAUUGUACAUGAAAAAAUUAUAAUUAGAGUCCCCACAGGUAAUCCAAGUAGCCCUGGAUUUUUGUCUUAGUGCUUGCUCUUCCACUAGACUCCAUUGGUGCAGUUUCUAAACAUAAUUCUCUCCUCCUCUAUCAAAGUUUGAUUUAACAAAUCAUUGGUCAACUUGUCUGGAUUAACUGCUAGCUGUUGUCUGGUAGUAUGCAAGUGGAUCUCAUAUAAAGCUAGAUAGGAUUUUAGCCCCUUUAGGUUUGUCUUUAGUUCUUUCAACUUCUGAGCCAACUGAUAUAUUUUAGUCCCAGUGUAUCUUUGACUCCAGGUACUUGCAGCAAUUUCUAGGAACUUGUGAUGUUGUAUGACUGUAGUGUAUAACUUGAAAGGCUUUGGUCUACUAUUCACUGUAGGAUUGCACUAUAAUAAGAUGGAGAAUGAUUAGAAAUGCCUGGUAGUAGGUAUUCAGCCUCUACUGCUCCAUAGCUUUAUAACUAUUUAUAAUUUCCUAUAGCCCAGUCAAUUCUUGAAUAUACUCUGUGGUUCUGCUCCUUCUUAUUGCAGAAAGAAUAAUAGCAGCCUCUAGAUCUCAGUAGGUGUAAUAGGGGAGCCCAACCUGUCAUCAAAACUAAAUAUAGCAUCGAAGUCUCCACCCAAGAUCCAAAUCCAAGGUUCCUGAAUGUUUGUACUCAAUCCCCUCAGGGCAGACCAUAAUGUUAUUCUUUCAACAGUAGUAUUUUUUGCAUAUAUAACAGUAACAUAAGCAGCAAAGUACUGGACUCUCCACAUAACAAUGUAUAAACUGUUUAUGAGAGAUUAAUACCUACACCUGCACAUGGUUUCUCCAUAGUAACCAAAUUCGACCAUUUGGAGCCAUCGGGUAAUUGCAACUAGUACUCCAACCUUGUGCAACCUUUGCCAGUAUGUUGAGAUUUUUGUGCUGAUUCACUCUCAUUUUUAGACAUCUCAUUAUUUCUAUCUUAUGUUUCACUAUAAAGAGCUUAAACUCUUUCUGCUUAAGGGUUGGUUCAAUCCCCUCAAGUUCCAAGUUGCAAAAAUCAUGUUAUGUUGGGUGGUUUGCCAACAUCACCUGUCACACCUUCAUGAUCACCCAUACUUUCCAAAGUUGAGAACCUGUUGUCACUCCUAGAAGUGCCUACCCCUCCUUCUAGUGAGGUCUCACCAGUCCCAGUUGCAUGUUGGAUACUCUACACUUGUAGUUCCUGGUCAUUUUCCAAGUUAUAGGUCUGCAGAUGGUCAUCUAGUGGUGGAGGGGUGGUAGUUUCCUUACUUGUAGCAUUCCUUGUUUCUUUUUCUUGCCAUUCUUCACAUGCAGGUUUUCUCUUUCUUUUAUUCCUCCUUAUUCUUUUUAGUUUCUCUUGGAAGUCCUUCUCCUGAUCCUCUACUUUGUCAUGUAGUCGGUAAUCAUCAGUAGAGUGCCCAAAACGUAGACAAUGGCUACAAAAUUUGGGUUUACAAUCAUACUCAAUAGUCUAAUAGAAUGUUCCUGAUGGAGUCACCAUUUCAAUGGAUUCAAUUAAAGGUUGGGAUGCAUACACUUUAACGCCUACACGAGCAUAAGAUAUACGUUCCAUGCUAGCGGUAUAAUGGUCUGUGCGAAGAGGACGACCAAUUUCACUCACUAUUUUACUCAAUGCAUCACCUGACCAGUACACAACAGGAGUACACAACAGGUAGUCCUGGAAGUGUAAUCCAUAGUGGAAUAGUUGUUAUGCAAUUUGGAUCAAAUUCAAAGUCAAUAACCAUGGUUGAACUAUGAAUGGUUUGUUGUGAAAUUUGUAAAGGCCACCUAGAAGUACCUUAUCCUUAUCAGCAGCUGAGUUGAAUCAGAAGAUGUAAUAUCUAGCUGCAUGACCCAGAGUUUGGGGUUUUUCAACAAAAUUCCAUACAUUUUCAACAAAAUACUCCAUAGAUUUUUGGUAGGGAGUAUCCCCCACCACAAAACUUAUUAGGGAAUUUUUCCAGUAGUGUGAUUGGUCUUUUAAAUCAUCUUCGACAAUAGUGACAACAAUUUUCCCAUCUAGAGUAACCGGAGGAACGUAGUUCAGGGUCUUUCCAGUACCAGCUUUGCGAUUUUCAGUAUAUUCCUUCUUCACUGGCUGCUGAGGAGAUGGUGCUUGCUCUGAGAAUUGCAACCCCUUUUUCAGUAUAGAUACUAUGCUUCAAAGAUGAAUCGAUGUCGGCGAAUCCGAGUCUGAGUUGGGUUCCUUAACCUCCUCAGGGAUAGAACACCUGAGGGGUAGAAAGCUUCCAAACGUUAUGGAUGCAGUGAAUAGCUAAUUCCGUCUUGCAGGGUAACCAAUUUUGUCGGUGACACCAUAGUUUUCGGUAGAAAUCAUGAGGAAUUAUAAAGAGUGCACGUUAGCAACCUUGCUAAUAUGCGCCGGGAGCAGCAUUCCUCUUCUGUCAGAACACAUACCAGAACGAUGCAGACGAAGCUUUACAGAAGUUGAAUGGAACUGCUAUUGGCAAGCAAAUAGUGCGUCUUUCUUGGGGACGAAACCCAGCAAAUUAACACGGCUUAAAAACUCUCAAAGUCACUUUUUAUCAUGCUGCCAAGGAUGAAGUGACUAUCCGUACUAUCAAAUUGCAAAAACAAAGUACCAUAGGAGAUGUUCUUAAUGACUUGAAAAAAAGGUUGGAGUGCCACUUCUAGAUACUGAACUAAUAUUUCUGGAUGUGUUUAACCACAAGAUAUAUAAGAUGGUAGAGGAUAACCCAAAAAAAAUUAGCCUAAGAAAGUGGAGUAUCAUUCACGUCUCUCAGUGUAUGUGCCAGUAUGUUUGAAACCUCUUCUCGAGAUGAACCCUUUGAUGGUCUUAGUCAUUUGCUAACAACAAGGGUAUGAAUGACCCCUAAAUAUAAGGAAAGGUCUGGAAAUACUCACCAGUUCAUGAAUGGACUCCGGAUGCAGGGGUAGGUGAUACUGAUGUUAGAAGCUAGUAAAAGCCUACUCUUCUUCAAUUUAUUUACCAAGGCAUCUCUUUUUCGAUCUAGUUUCAUAGCCAGGGUAAGUAUAACAUCUUCACUUCAUAUUAUAUAAUUUUUAUUCUAUGUGCCCUGCUUUGCAAAAUUUUUUGUGGAAAGUUAUAUCCUAAAUUGGUCACAUUAUUAGACUUUGUGGAUUCACCUAGUUAAAUGUCCCUGGUCUUAGACUUGCUUUCCCUAUUUUUAGAUGGUUGUUUUCGGCAUUCUGUUUCCUGCCUUGAUCAAUAUUGCUCAUACUCAAUGCUUUUAUUUUGUUUUGUUUGAGUUUUCCUAUUGAGGCAGAUAACAUACAUCAAUGUCUCAGCUGAAGAGCAUAUCACUGAACAUCAUCAUUCUGAAUGUACAACUCAGUUAUCUACUCGUUUAGUUCACAAACAUCUAAAGAUGGUGAAGUUAAUUGGUUUUAUUGGGUGUAGAAAUAAUUGUAAGACGGCCUUGCUUUUACUAGAAAUUGGAGGCGCCUCUCUUAAAGAGAUCAUCCUACAUCCUACAAAUAACAUUCACCACUAUGAGGUUAAGAGAAUUGCAUCAAUUGAAAAGCGCAGAAAACAACUCGAAGCGAAGUUGCCACCAGGGGUUAAACUAGUGAUGAUAUAGCUUCAAUGAAAGGCCGUGAUGCCUAUAGUACAAGAGGGUGUCACUUUUAGCCUUGGUAAAUUGAACGUACCUCCAAAUGAGAUUGUAAGAUUAUUCUAACACACCUCAGCAAUAACAACAACAUAUGCAGUGUAAUUCCAUAACAAGAUAUGGUGAACCACUUUUUCUAGGAAUUCAAGAGAAAGCACAGGAAGGAUAUGGUGAACCACUUUGUCCAGGAAUUCAAAAGAAAGCACAGGAAGGAUAUUAGUGUAUUAUAAUUUAUUAUAUAUGUAAAUACUAAUUUAUAUAGUUGCAUAAAAUUUUAAUUUGGAUUAUUAUAUUAAUGAAAGAUUUUACUGUGAA